UACGGAGGGUGCGAGCGUUGUUCGGAAUCACUGGGCGUAAAGCGCGUGUAGGCAGCCUUCUAAGUCUGGUGUGAAAGCCCGGGGCUUACCCCCGGAACUGCGCUGGAAACUGGGAGGCUUGAGUACCGGAGAGGAGGGUGGAAUUCCUGGUGUAGCGGUGAAAUGCGUAGAUAUCAGGAGGAACACCGGUGGCGAAGGCGGCCCUCUGGACGGAUACUGACGCUGAGACGCGAAAGCGUGGGGAGCAAACAGG
rnacentral:rRNA from 1 species